GGCAACGACAGAGGCUUCGGUGGAUCUGGUUGUUCAGUUUGAAAGAGAAACACACCGACAUGGUUGUCGAUCCCGGUCCAGGAAAGCCCACAAAGCUCCAUCGUCAUUGGUUCUGGCUGCGUCCAGGAUGGAGGAUUCGGCGCUGUUAGUCACCCCGACGGCAUCUCAGAGGUGGAAGUUGGCGGCCUUUUAUUUAAAAAAUCUAGACGUGUACACGUGUAGCUGGAGACAAAGGUCGGGGAUUCUUUUAGACUCUUUCAGCACAACUGCUGGGGGGAGGAAUUCUGUGGAGGUUUUCUGAGUCUUCUGGUGUUUCUCCAGACUCCUGAUCAUCGUCUUCAGCGCCUUCCUCUCCAGCUCCAAGUCCUCCUGCUCCUUCUCUCGCAGCAGAACGUUGUUGAGGGACACCAGGUGGUGGAACUUCUCCUGCCACUUCCGUUCUUGCAUGUUGACUUGAGCGACCAGCCUGGCGUUCUCUUCCUCCAGUCUGAUCAAAAGCAACCGAUCCAAGCUCUGCUUGUGCAGCCGCCUGGCGAGAGCUUCCUCCGCGUCCCUGAGUCGACUGAGCACCUCUGCUCCUCUGGCCGCCACCUUCGAAAGCUGCUGCCGCAGAUCGUGGACCGUUUCGGCCCCCGGCUCCUGGGAUUCCACGUUCUGCCCGAGGGAAUCCUCGACUCUGCACUCGUGCUUGAUCGAAUGCUCCGGUUUCACGGGCGGGGGCAUCAAGUGUGGCUCUGACAACUGUUGAUGUUCACAGACGGACACGUGUUGGACAUUCAUGCACUCCGGGUCGCAGUGCUGCACCUCUUCUUUUGCGGGGGGUUUUGGCUCAUUCUUGGGCUUCCAGAACCUCGCCAGCUGCUUCCUGAUGAACUUUAGCACGGCGGCGACUUUCAUUCUCUUUGAACUUGCCUGCAUUGUUAUUUAAGAUUCACAACCUAUUGGUUAUUAUAAAUUUGCUCAUUCAGAUCAAUGCCUGGUUUGCUCUGAUCAAUUAACUUCAAAGACAUUGCUGGGUGUCUUUGAUCAAUACGCCUCGGCUGUGUGGCGGGUUUUUGUUAGACACAAGACGGAGGCCAAAUCCAACAAAGGUGUGUUUAAAGAAUUGGCUCUCGUGUCAACUUCCGUGUGUGACUCACAUACAUUGGAAAUGCUAUUUUCAGCCCGGUGACACAUCCAAGUGCACGGGGAUGCUGUGCACGUUAAUGUGGGGUUUUCUGUUUGUUUCGUUUUUAUCUUUUAUACAUCAAGGAAAAAUGAGAUGAGUAACCUCUGACUAAUUUAUUCCUCAGUUCCUCGGUUUAGUCCCCACUAAUGAGAGCAUCCUUUCCUAUUCAGAGGUAUUUAACCAGCAACAUGUACCUAAAAUGUUGGGAUGCGAUCCCAUGAUAGCAACAACCCAGGUUGGACACAAAUGCUGUGAUGCUGACAGUGAUUAUUUACCAAAAAGACAGAAAAAAAACCUACAAAAAGGCAUUCAAAGAGCAGCUUCCUUCACCAAGCAGCUCAUUUCCAAACACAACCAUAAGUUCCUUGGUCUAUUAACAUUAACAUUUACUCAUCCUAAUGGUACAUUUUUAAAUCCCAAUAUCAAAUUAAAUCAUCUGAAGGCAGCGAGGACCUAAACAGCUUUAAAAAAUGGACGCGUGUGGAGGAGCAUGUGUGUUUAUCACAUAUAAUGGACAUUGAUGAAAUACAAAAAACCCAAUGAGAAUCAAUUCCAAAAUAUUGUGCAAAGCAAAACUGACGCAUCAGUUUUCCACCUUCCCAUUUAAAACAAAAAGAACAACCAAUCAGUAGAUUUUCACACUGCAAUAAAACCCGCUGACAUGUGUCAUUUGGAAACAAAGGCGGUAAAAAGGUUUCAAGACUGAAAUUACUGGACGACCGAGGUGUCGCUCUCCAUGGGCGCUGCACGCCGAGGCUCUAAUUGGCUUUGUUCUCCAGCCAAAUAAUAACCAUGUAUGCUAAUGGUGUAAAUCCUGCCGAUGGCUCUCAGAGCUCGUUUCACAUGAACA
rnacentral:lncRNA from 1 species